rnacentral:rRNA from 1 species
UGGGGGUUAUUGCACAAUGGGCGAAAGCCUGAUGCAGCGACGCCGCGUGGGGGAUGAAGGCUUUCGGGUUGUAAACCUCUUUCGCUAUCGAACAAGGCCCGCUUAGGGUGGGUUGAGGGUAGGUGGAGAAGAAGCGCCGGCUAACUACGUGCCAGCAGCCGCGGUAAUACGUAGGGCGCGAGCGUUGUCCGGAAUUAUUGGGCGUAAAGGGCUUGUAGGCGGCUUGUUGCGCCUGCUGUGAAAACGCGGGGCUUAACUUCGCGCGUGGAGUGGGUACGGGCAGGCUUGAGUGUGGUAGGGGUGACUGGAAUUCCAGGUGUAGCGGUGGAAUGCGCAGAUAUCUGGAGGGACGCCGAUGGCGAAGGCAGGUCACUGGGCCAUUACUGACGCUGGGGAGCGAAAGCAUGGGUAGCGAACAGG